AGGGGUGUGGUAGCCGGCUGUCCUCGCGACUUUUGCUGUCCCCCGCCUCCUGCCGGCCUGCUCCUGUCGCGAGACUUCCUGCUCCUCCGCCGCUCCCCUUAUCGUCGCCUUUGCUGGGGACCCGGACCCAGCCUCUCCCCCACUCGGUCACCAGCCCCGGCUCCUCCGAGGCCUCGGUCCCCCAGCCCCGCCUCGCCGCCGCCAUGGCGGACCCUAAAUACGCCGAUCUCCCCGGCAUUGUGAGUACAGGGCCGGGCCCGGCUCCCCAGACCGCGCCCCCGACCUCCCGAGGACCCCCAACAGAAGCCAGCCCGCGACCCCUCCCGCUGGCAGCCCCCUAGCCCCAAGGGUCCCCGCCGCUCGCCCUUCGACGGCCGCAGCACCUUCUGGACUCCAGACCCGACUGGGCCGGGCCGUUGGACCGCGUCGGGCCCUUUUUCUGGCAGUAGCCGGUUUCUCCGCCCAGAAAUCGCCUCCGGGCGCUUACCACUUGAGCCCGAAUGUCUGUACCGUCCAUGUCAACAGUGCCCUUGUCGCCCCAAAUUUCCCGAUUGCCCGCCCCCGCACCCUGACUCCAGCCGAACUCACCAGGCCACUUGGUGGCCUUCAUCUUGCCAGGGAAGAGGUUACUGUUGCAGAAACCUUGUGCCAGUGGGGAGCUCUGUGCAUUGCGAGCACCUGUGUGCUUGCUCCUCAUGCACAAGCCGGCAUGUACCCUCCGUUGAUGCUGUCCUCUCUGCAUUCUCAGGGUUGGGGGCGGGGGGUUGGCACACCGGACCUUGAGAACUAAGGUCCUGAGUCACUCUCAACCCUUGUACAGUGAUGUGCAGGGCCUAACUCAAGAAACCCUCACCAGAUUAGGACAAGAUAAUUACCAAGGACUGGCCUCUCAGCCAUGUUCAGGGUAGCAUCUUUCUUUCACUAUGGACGUUUUAUCCCAGAUCCCAGUUUGUACCUGUGGUCAUCCCACUGGAUGAAACGGACAUAGAGUUGACAGGGGAGGUGGAGGGCGGAAUCCUUGAAUGACAGUCAGGUUUUGCAAUGCCUUGUUCAAAGGAAAUGGGAUAAGGGAUGAAUGCUGGGUAAUGAGUCUGGGUGGUCACCGCUUCUCCCUGCAGGCCAGGAAUGAGCCAGACGUUUAUGAAACCAGCGACCUACCUGAGGAUGAUCAAGCAGAGUUUGAUGCGGUAAGACUGUGUGCUACCUCAGGAUCCCUCUGGACUCUGACCUUUCUCCCCAGAUGCAGGUCCUUUUCCUUCUCUGGCAAGCCACAACAAUAAGUGGGUAUGCCAACCCCAGCCUGGGUGGUGUGGAGGUCUCAGGGCUUUCAAAGGCCUUGCCCAGCAGCUGGCAGCCACCAAUGAACAAUGCCAGAAAGGAGAGUCGAGCCAGUGAGAUUACAACUAACAAGACCUGUAAAACCCAAGUCUUAUUAAAUACAAUUGAGAUAUCUCAAAGCAGUUACAUUCUGGACUAGUGAUUAGUUAGGCCCCAGGGUCUAAUCUGUGCAUUGAAUUAUAAAGCUUGAACAUAGUAAAUCGUUUAAGGUUGGAGUAGACAUUUUUUUUUAAAGAUUUAUUUUGUUUAUAUGAGUACACUGUAGCUGUCUUCAGACACACUAGAAGAGAGCAUCAGAUUCUAUUUCAGAUGGUUGUGAGCCACCAUGUGGUUGCUGGGAAUUAAACUCAGGACCUCUGAAAGAGCAGCCAGAUGCUCUUAACUGCUGAGCCAUCUCUCCAGUCCGACCUUUUUUAUUUUAUAAGAUAUUUCACUCAUUAAAUUAAGUUCUCAUUAGUAUUUAGCAAGAACUUGAAUUUGAACUGUAGCAGCCAUUAGGGAAGGUGGAAGCAAAUGACUUGGAAAUGUCAGAAAACCACACGCGUGGUCAGACCAAGAUCAUUUUGGGGAAUAACAUAAAUACUGUAAUCAGCCGAGAAAAGACGAUAGUAAUAUAUUAAGCCUGCUCUGUGUGCUCUAAGGAGUCGGGGGCGGGGCACACACUUUAACCAGGAAUUUAUUGCAGAGGAAGAGAUGCCCUAAAGGAGCCCUUUUACAUGACUGUUAGACUGUGUACAGGAAGUAUAGGAGUUAGCAUACGUAUAGGUAACAUAAGAGAAAGCCCAGGGUGAAUGAACAGCAGUCAGUACAGUCCUGGGGGUACAGAGGUCCAGCGAUGGCCUCUAUAGAUUGUGUUUUAUUAGCUCCACAGCAAACUGGGCUGAGCUAGGCUGGGCUCUCACUGAUGCUAGGAGAUCUCAGUGGAGGCGUGGCCAAAGUCAUGGGGACCUUGUCAGCAGGCCCAGUGUGUGUGUCUGUCAGUCCUGUGGCCGUGUCUGUGGGGCUGGUUAGUUGUGAGGAAUGUUGGCAGCUGCCUUACACUGGCAUGGCUUGGCGUGCUCACUUAUUCCUUAUCUUGUUCUCCCGUGUGGAAGUGCUUCCUACACAGUGGGAAUAACUUCCUGUCCCUUCCCUCCACAGUGUGCUCCUGGUGGCUUCUGUAUCUGCUGGCAUGUCAGUCUGCCGAUCCCUCUUCCCACAAAGCUUAUUACCUGGGGAUAAUGCAGAUGGUGUCUGAGUGUGACACUGUCACUCCAAGAGGUGUCUCAGUUAACUCUGUCCUCAGAGCAGGAGAUGAGGAGUUAGCUCAGGGAUGCCUCAGAACCUCAGCCUGUAAAAUACCAAGCUUGCAGAGAGAGGAUAAGACUGUUGGCUGGUCACUGUGAUGUAGACAGACAGUGGAUACCGUGACUGCAGCUCCUCCCAUCGUCGUGUCUCAGCCAGCUUGUCAGAGAGGAGCGUGUGUGGAGACAGACCCUCAGCGCAUCAGAAGCCCUGAGAGCUAAGUUACUUCCUGAUGUCAGCUAAUGUCUCUGGCUCCUCCAUGUCCCUAUGGGCCUUAGGAAGGCCGUGUUCGGGAAGUCAGCUGCACAUAACGGCUCUGCUGCUGCCCAUAAUGCUGACGUAAAUGUGCAGCCUGAGGAGCAUCGCCAACCCAGAGGCACUGUGGCUCUGAGGCCUGGAUGCUGGCUGGGAGCCUGUCCGUGUCUCAUCUGCGGCUGGACCAGUCACUGCAGGAACCUCUAAAUUGUUUUCAACUUUAAUUUUAUUUGUUUUCAAAUUAAGUCAUAAAUAUUUGUGGGGGGAAAAAUCUGUUUAAGGCUGUGUAGUGAAAAAGUCCCCACUUGUACUGCCCCUCAGUUCUGUUCCCUGGGGACAACCAAUAUGGCCAAAUUGUAAAUAAUUUUAAGGGUCUGCAAAUGUUUAUUUUUUAUUUUAUUUUUGAAACAGGCUCUCACUUGUAUUGCCCUGUCUGGCCUAGAACUACCUAUGUAGUUUUAUGUAGCACAGGCUGGCCAAGUGCUAGGACUUAAGACAUUUGCCACCACACCUAAUUUCCAGGUGUUACUCUAAAGGAAUAUCAAGUAGAAUGGCCCAGUGGCCCUUCAGUGUCUUUAAUCUUCCUUUGAUUUCUCUACUGCC
rnacentral:lncRNA from 1 species